AAGAGGGCCAGGAGCACAUUGCACGACCCAUGAGUGAGCGCCUCCCUACUUCUGUACCCUCGGUCCCUUUGCCCUGACCCUAUUCCUAGCCCUGGCGGAGAAUGUGAAGAUGAGGCCAGAGGGAACAUUGAGAAGAAGGAUCUCAGAGAAGAAGGAAAAUUCAGCAGAACCUAGGAAGUGCAACUGCUAUUGCCUGGGCCUUUGUUCCUGGAAUGGACUCUGAGAGUGCAUGAUGCAGCUUGGAGGACGUCUCCUCUGGGAUCCCUCCCCACUGCCCCCACCGCUUCCUGGGGUGAAUGAGUCCUCUGUAGCCAUCAGGAUUCGCUGUAUCAGGAGUGUUCCUCUGCUGUCACCUCUGAUGACUAUUUUCCUCAAUUCAGAAUCCCCAGCACCUGCAAAAGGCCUGGAUAAAGAAGGGGCUGAGCAGGAACAGAGGAUUGCAGUUCUUAGGAUGGCCACGCGAGGGAAGUGGUGAGCAGCCUCCAGGAGGACUUCGGCUCGGCUGUGCCAAGGCACCUGCUGAGGACCCAGAUGGCCCGCCUGGGGU
rnacentral:lncRNA from 10 species